GUGGGGAAUAUUGGGCAAUGGGGGGAACCCUGACCCAGCGACGCCGCGUGGGUGAAGAAAUCCCUCGGGAUGUAAAGCCCUGUUGUAUGGGAAGAGCAGAAGACGGUACCAUACGAGGAAGCCCCGGCAAACUACGUGCCAGCAGCCGCGGUAAUACGUAGGGGGCAAGCGUUGUCCGGAAUUACUGGGCGUAAAGCGCACGCAGGCUGAAUUAUAAGUCGGUAGUCAAAUACGGAGGCUCAACUUCCGGAUAUCUAUCGAUACUGUAAAUCUAGAGUAUGUGAGAGGGAAGCGGAAUUACCGGUGGAGCGGUGAAAUGCGUAGAUAUCGGGAGGAACACCAGUGGCGAAGGCGGCUUCCUGGCACAAUACUGACGCUCAUGUGCGAAAGCUAGGGCAGCGAACGGGAUUAGAAACCCCGGUAGUCC
rnacentral:rRNA from 1 species